AACGCUGGCGGCAGGCUUAACACAUGCAAGUCGAACGGGCGUAGCAAUACGUCAGUGGCAGACGGGUGAGUAACGCGUGGGAACGUACCUUUUGGUUCGGAACAACACAGGGAAACUUGUGCUAAUACCGGAUAAGCCCUUACGGGGAAAGAUUUAUCGCCGAAAGAUCGGCCCGCGUCUGAUUAGCUAGUUGGUGAGGUAAAGGCUCACCAAGGCGACGAUCAGUAGCUGGUCUGAGAGGAUGAUCAGCCACAUUGGGACUGAGACACGGCCCAAACUCCUACGGGAGGCAGCAGUGGGGAAUAUUGGACAAUGGGCGAAAGCCUGAUCCAGCCAUGCCGCGUGAGUGAUGAAGGCCCUAGGGUUGUAAAGCUCUUUUGUGCGGGAAGAUAAUGACGGUACCGCAAGAAUAAGCCCCGGCUAACUUCGUGCCAGCAGCCGCGGUAAUACGAAGGGGGCUAGCGUUGCUCGGAAUCACUGGGCGUAAAGGGUGCGUAGGCGGGUCU
rnacentral:rRNA from 1 species